GUGGAGAAUGAAGAGGGGUGCUCAUACUUGAUAGCAUUGAAAGGUUUGCUACGCAGGAGAGAUGGCGCUAUCACUUGCAUCCAUCCUACCAUCCAUUGGCAUGGAUAGGAGCAAGGUCUGUCAGCGUCAUCUCUUGUGCGUAGCGUACCUUUGCAUAUGCAAACUAAGGUAGUCAUUUCUACAAAUUUGCAUUCCAAUGUGGUAAUCCAAGGUUAACAGAUUUUUCCACUAGUAUGUUUGAUGGGGUGAUAAUACAAUCAACCACUCAUCUUCCAAGAUCCAAACAUGAUGAGUCAAAGUUUGCUUGAAAAUAUAGUUGGAAACUCAAGAUAGAUUUUAGAGUUGCAGAUGAGUGAGGAGCAAGAGAUGAAGAAAAUCAAAAGGAUGGAUCUAUGAGGUCCAAACAUUAGGAACAAACCAUCAAAGAAAAAGAUUGAUGAUACCUUCAUGGAGGAAAAUGAUGAAGCUUGAGUCAAUAUACUGAGGAACGAAGAGUGACCUUGGCUCCAUGGAGAUGAAUCCAAUAUGCAAGCGCCUCUCCAUAAGCUUAGCAUCAC